rnacentral:miRNA from 14 species
CAUUUGUGUAUACAUGUGUGUGUAUGAACAUGUGUGUAUAUGAAUCUACAUAUACAUGCACACACAAAUACACACACAUACACACACACGUA